rnacentral:rRNA from 1 species
GUAACGCCUGCCCUGUGGAACCCUAAACGGCCGCGGCAUAAAACCGUGCAAAGGUAGCACAAUCACUUGUCCACUAAAUAAGGACCCGUAUGAAAGGCAACAUGAGAGGAGACCUGUCUCUUGAGGCCCGCCAACGAAAUUGAAUAGUCAGUACAAAAGCUGACAUUUUUAAGCAAGACAAAAAGACCCCGUGGAGCUUUUAACAAAUUAUUAACAACCCUUAAUAAGAGUUUCGGUUGGGACAACCAUAGAAAAACUAAACUUCCAAAUAAACAAGACCAACGAGUCUAGUGUGAUGACCCAGUCAGACUGAUCAAUGAAACAAGCUACCCCGGGGAUAACAGCGCCACCUUCUAGAAGAGCCCAUAUCAACAAGAAGACCUACGACCUCGAUGUUGGAUCA